CACCACAUGGCUGUGUGCAGCAGUUCACCAGAGAGGUUCUCCAGUUUGUUGUAUUAAAGUUGUAUUCCUUUCUCAUUCACUGCUUUGUUAUUUAAUGAACCCCAGCAUCAUUACAUGGUGUCAGAAGUGCUGAAUGAGAAGGAAACUUUUGAAAUUAACUCCUGUAUUUUUAACUGAAAGCAGAGACAAAGGGAGGCACCGGAGAAGCACAUGGAGCACCAGGCACAAAGGCUUUUGAAUGUAUUUGACAUCCUGGGGUCUAGCAAGCCUGAUGGGAGGGACUGGAUACUGCCUAUGGCUGUGAAUGGAACAAUUAUUCUACUGCAAUUGGACACAGGAGCUCAGAAAUGAUCUUGGGACCCUAACCUCCCUCUUUGUUAUCGCUGGCUGAACAGCUGUGCAGAAUUAGAAAGCGGCCAUGAAGAACCAAGGAGGACUUUCUGCGUGAGGUUAUGAUGCACUCCAUGGCCAAAAAACAGGAAUUGAAAGAGU